AAUGACAUGGGGAAAUGGAGGAGGUGUCUGAGUAGCCAGACUUGGGUUUUCUUCAUAUAUCCAGGUGAAAAAGGUACAUAGGAUGUUGAUAUUCUGCCUCAAAAUAUACACAGUAUGGGCUGGGCAUGGUGGCUGUCACCUGUAAUCCCAGCGCUUUGGGAGGCCGAGGUAGGAGGAUCACCUGAGGUCAGCAGUUCGAGACCAGCCUGGCCAACAUGAUGAAAUCUCAUCUCUACUAAAAAUACAAAAAAUAGCCAGGCAUAGUAGCAGACACCUGUAAUCCCAGCUACUCUGGAGGCUGAGGCAGGAGAAUUGCUUGAACCCGCGAGGCAGAGGUUGCAGUGAGCCGAGAUUGUGCCACUGUACUCCAGCCUGGGUGGCAGAGCGAGACUCCAUCUCAAAACAACAACAACAACAACAACAACACCACAAUAUUAUGUAGCCAUAAAGAGGAACGAAAUACUGAUACAUGGUACUGAUACACGGAUGAACUUUAAAAACAUUAUAUUUUGCUUUAAUUUUUUCACAGAAAUAAUGUCUUGCUAUGUUGCCCAGGCUGGUCUCAAACUCAGGCUCAAAUGAUCCACCCAUCUUGGCCUCCCAAAGUGUUACGUGUGAACCACUGCACCUGGCCAAAAAUAUUUUACUAAGAAAAAGGAGUCACCUAUUGUAUGAUUCCAUUUAUAUGAAAUAUCCAAAAUAGUGAUGCUUUACAAUAGGGGUGUCCAAUCUUCUGCCUUCCCUGGACCAACUGGAAGAAUUGUCUUCGACCACACAUAAAAUACACUAACAAUAGCUGAUGAGCUUUAAAAAAAA
rnacentral:lncRNA from 10 species